GAGCGCUGCUUCUUCGAUUUGUCUCUUUCAUGUCCGUUCCUUUCAUGAUUAGAAAAAGGGAAAAGAAGCAGCCUGCAUCGAUCUUAACUAAAGAAAAAUAUGUAUGUAGCAAACCCAUCAAUGGAAUGCAGCAGGCUUUGGUUGCCAAUACUAAAAGAUGAAGUCAACAACAAGAACAUACCAACAAUAGCUGUGUAGAGGAAGUCGAAAAACAAAUCAUCGAAAAUACACACAAUAUACGAAAACACGUCUAUAUGUAUUUACGGAAUUUGAAAAAAAAAACUGAAUUUACACAAUCACAUAGCUAUUAUAGAGAUUAUACAAACAGAUCAACACAAAAUAACACUCAAAAACAGUCAGAAUUUGAUAUACAUAUAUAGGGUAAUAACAUUACCCUCAAACAUUUUUUUUUUUCAACCACACACUUGCUGUGGCCUGUAAGAUCUAGGCCAAGUAUGUCAAUUUUUGACAUACGUUAUAAGACACAUAAACUAAUAAAACUAAAAAGCUAUACAACCUUCCUAGAAUUUUUAGAAUAAUCUUUUUUGAGAACGAUUUCCGGAACGUAAAUCGAAACGUCAAAUGGUUAAUCAAAAAUGUAAUUUUCAUUACAUCAAUAAUUGUGGCUCAAUCCCAUAUAAGCACAAUACUUCAAUGUUUAAAGAAAUGAGAAGUCCCCAGAUCAGUAAAUCUGAAACCUCUGUUGGAAGCAAUUCCUGCUUAAAUAUUUGUUACCUAUUAAAAAUCUGGACGAUUUAAUUUGGCAUGUUUUAAUCUCAUGUUUUGGUUUUUACUCACCCUCGUAACAUUAAAUAAAUUGAAAAUAGUAAAUAUUACGUGGUAAAGCUACUGAAUAGUUCAGUUUCAUUGAACUCGGUAGUAGAAAAUGACGCAUAUCUUUAUACAAUAAAAUAAAUUCUUACUACUCGAUCGUUUAGGCUAGGGCUCCACGAGCUACAGAUUGACGCUAGCAGAAGCAGUAAAAUUACGGUGACAGCACAGCAGUAAAAUCAUUGCUCCAUGAGAGCGGCAGUUUACAACGCGCAUAGCGCCGCGUCUUGAUCUUGUAGAGGCUCCAUGAGCUUUAGUAUGACGUGGCUACGAUCACUGCUAUCUUUUUAUGCGUGUAUAUAGUAGUUAAAGUAAAUAAAUUCGUACCGAUAAUAUAUUAUAGAUAACCUAUCAUUUUAACAUAAAAUUGCUUUAGUAUUGGCAAUGUGCCCGACGUAGGUUUAAAAAGUAACGGAAAUGGUGGAUUCGCCUUGUUCUAUUACAUAGAAAGACAUGGAAAAUUUGUUCUUUUACACAACAAACUAAUAGUCCAUGUGGUGAGACCGUUCCCGUCGGGAAAAAUUUCUGAUUCAGUUUCUUUGUGGAUUCCUAUUCAAAAAUGUCCCCUUUAAACAAAACUGAAGGGUGCCGGGCGGAAUUUUUAGGCAAAAAUUGUUUAAACAAUUUUUUUAAACAAAAAGAAAACAUCACUUUUUUUGUUGGUCAGUUUGAACAAGAAAGGUAUCUUGUAAAUUUUCUCACAAAUUGAUAGUUUUCGAGUUAUAGGCGAUUUAAAUUCUGAAAAAUGCGAAAAUACGCAUUUUCGAGGCUUAAAAACUCAUAUUCAAAUUAGUAUGUUUGAGGUUGCCAGAUACUUAAAUUGAAGACUAAAUAUUCAGCUUCAAGAUUCUGAAGAGUGAUGGCUUCUAACUUUAAUUUAUACCGUUGUUUUUUAAUUGUUAAAUAUGCGUGUGUAUCCGAUUUUUUUGCCGGUGAGGCGCGCUCCGUUUCAAAAAUCUCCUAUUUUCCCCCAAAAAAUAUUUUUUCUGUAUUCUUUAGGACAUUCUAAAUAAAAUAAGUUUCUUGACAUUUUUCUCAAAAAAUAGUUUUAGAGUUAUAAGCGAUUUAAAAUCGGAAAAUUGCGUUUUUAUCAUUUUUCGGAUUUUAAAUCGCUUAUAACUUAAAAACUAUUAACUUGACCCAAGAUUGACCCAAAAAAUCUAAAAAUAUAUGUUCUAGAGCAAAAAACCUGAUCUUUUCUAUUUGUUUAAAAAAAUUGUUUAAACAAUUUCUGCCCAAAAAUUCCGCCCGACACCCUUCAGAUUUGUUUAAAGGGGACAUUUUUGAAUAGGAAUCCACAAAGAAACCGAUUUAGAAAUUUUUUUCAGACGGGAGCGGUCUCACCACAUGGACUAUAAAAGAAUAUAAAAAUCAAUGGGAAAGUCCCAGUAUACUGUAUAUACCAAUAUAUAUACAUAAUAUAUACCAAUAAACUGUAUACCAUAAUUAAAAAUCAUACAGAACAAGUAAAAACUUCGUUUGUUUGGUUGGUCUGUGUCCAUCUAACUGGCAAGUACCACACGUUACCAUCGAGCAGUGAAUCAUGUUGCCCUUUGAGCACUCUUAAAUUUUAUCGCUUAACAUCGACUUAGAGAUAGAUAGAUAGAUAGAUAAUUUUAUUAACCCUUGGUUACAUACAAGUAUGCAUAGAGCAUGUCAAAAAAAAUACAAUAAACAUUACAACACUACAAUUACAAACAAAAAUAAUAUAUACCUAGUACAAGACAAAUACAUAAUAAGUUGCCAAUAAUUAUUCUAUAAAUUAUGUCAAUACAAAAAUUAAAAUUCGCCCCAGACAUUGGACAUCUUCUAAAUAAUUAGAGCUAAGCAUUCUGUAAAUUCACGUACUGAAUAAAAGGCAUGGCUUAUUAAGAAUUGCUUUAAGUUUUUUUUGGAAAGUUCUUAGUGAAUUAAAAUUUUUAAAACUAGAUGGUAGUGUAUUAAAAAGUAGGGAGCCUGCAUAUUCAGGAGAUUUUCUAAAAUUAGUAUGAAUAUGACGGGGAAGAUAUAUUAUCCCGGCAUUUCUUGUGUUAUAUGGGUGUAAGUCAUUUGCUGUUUUAAGAUCAUUUAACUUAGUGAACGUGCGUGAUAACAACAUAUAGAUAUAUAUUGAAGCAAGCGUAAGAAUGUUAUUAUUUUUAAAACAUUGUCGACAACCGUCUCUAAAGCGUAAACCAAAUAUUGUUCGAAUUAUUCGUUUUUGUAGGACAAAUACUCUCAAACUUUCCGAUGCCUGUCCUCAAACAAUAAUGUUUUGACUGAUUAUGGAAUACACUUGGGAAUAGUAUAGUGUAACCAACGCAUUUACAGUGUGUCGUGCAAAGGACUUCGUCCUUUAACGACAAUAUCGCGAAAUAAGCUCGAUUCAAUUUUAAACAAGUAUUGUUUACGUGUUCACGAAAAUUUAAAGUAUUGUCCACAAUCGUGCCAAGAAACUUAGUACUAUCAACUAAUUUAAUAAGCACGUUGUCUGUAAUUUCGAACGCAGAAGUACUUAUUUUUCUUUCACCAUAAGAAAACUGAAUACAUACUGUCUUAUCUAUAUUUAUUACCAAAUUAUUUCGGUAGCACCAGUUCUUAAAUGACAAGAUUACAUUCUUGACCUUAGAAUGUGCUAACUCGAAGGAUUCCGCUGAGACAAGUAUGGUGGUAUCAUCUGCAUACAUGAAUAUGUAUUUUUCUGAGAUAUAUUCAGGCAUAUCAUUUAUAUAAAGUAAAAAGAGUAGUGGACCUAAUAUUCCACCCUGGGGUAAUCCUAGAGUCGCCACUAACAUCAACUUUUAAAAAUGUAAAUCAUAUUUCUCGAUGUCACCUAUUGUACAAGGUUACUAGUUUCAUGUACUAAGCAGAACGCACUGAAGAUGAUCUGAUCUAGAUUGAAAACGUUUUGCGAAUCCUUUUGGAUCACUUUUUAAUAGUUUUUCAAUAAACUUUUUAUACCAUUAUACAAACGAAGUUUUUACUUGUUCUGUAUGAUAUUUAAAAGAAUAUCAUGACGAGUUUGAAUAUUACAGGAUAGCAGUGUCUUCCUUCAAUUUUUUACUAUGUGAAAUAGAAGAUGUCUUAAGAAAACAGGACACAUCAAUGCGUGAUAACCUGAACCCAGAAGAAAGAUUAGGCAAAUAUUUGUCCAUGCAUUUAAUUUUUUGACUCUGUUUUUAUGAUUCUCUUAUUUAAAAUCAUACAAACAGUCAUUCUUUUGCACUUCUAAUAUUAAUAGUUCACUAUCAAACUCAACAAAUGUGUCCAUUAUGAAUACAUAUAGGCAUUGUUUAAAAAAGAAUAGUUGGUCAACACAAUGAAUAAAUUUGUUUGAUUCUAAUUGAGAUAUUCACCAGAUGUCACCACCAUUUCUGUCAGGGUCGAAACGUCACGCGUAACUACGAUAAAUCCAAAAUGCAUAGACACCAAGUUUGAUACGAUCCUAUUCCUAACACACACCAACUCGCAUAUAUAUUAAGAAAAAUAAAUAUAUGGAAGAAUAUAUUUAGAAAUUUAAUUAAUGAUGUCAUGCUACUAUACAUUAUACAUAUAAUAGCAUGCCAUCAUUAAUUCAAUUUCUAAAUAUAUUCUUCCAUAUAUAUUUAUUUUUCUUAAUAUGUAUGCGAGUUGGUGUGCUAUGACUAGGAUCGUAUCCAACUUGGUGUCUAUGCAUUUUGGAUUUAUCGUAGUUACGCGUGACGUUGCGACCCUGACAGAAAUGGUGGUGACAGCUGGUGACUGUCUCAAUUAGAAUUAAACAAAUUUAUUCAUAGCGUUGACCAACUAUUCUUUUUUAAACAAUACUAUAGGUAAUUCAAAAUACCAAACAGCAAAAUAAACUGACAAGAACAAAAAAAUCAGAUUUAACGGCAAUUGCACCUAAGAGAACUACAUUACUACCUGUGGAGCCAGGAACGAGCUGCAAAUAACUGCUAAAGAUAGGUCUGGACCCUGGACCUAUCCGUCUGCGACAUGACCAAUGACCUUGACGACGCGCCUCGUUCCCCUCUGGAGCGACAAUCUACUGCACAGUGGACCCGCUUAGUAUUAUCGCUGUUGUUUUCAUUUAUCACGCUUCAUUUUACUGCUACUGCUAACGUCAAUCGGUAGCUCGUGGAGCCCUAGCCUUAGGUGUAACUAAUUCUGCAGCGCCCUAGCACAAUCUCUUAUAUUUAAAUGUGUAGACAUAGAUAAGUGUAAAAUGUAGCAGCUUGUCAUUCGGUUUACGAUAGGAGAGCGUAGACGUUUCCAAAAACUGAAUUUCAAGAAAGUGAAUCAUCCUACAUGUUAUUUGUCAAAUUGAAUGUUGACUGUUAUAUGGUAUGUGUUUUUUAUUCUUGUUCAUCCUUGUACAAUCGUUUGAACAUUUUUGUAACUUUGGCGUUUGUCGAUAUGUUGGUGUUGUGUAAAUAGUUAAAGCGUGGAUAGGUGGUUUCAAUUAUUAAUUGGGAGUUACUGGUAAUCUAUAUAAAAAGCACAUAAUUGCUACUAGACUAAGGCGGUCCGCAUAUGGGUCGAUCGAAAACACGUCUCGAAGUUCGCGCGUCUUGUACGAACCCUGCGGCACAAGCGAUUACUCUCCGCACACUAGUCGAUUCAGUUUGCUCACAUCUUCCAACCAUGAAAUAACGCAUUUUUUGUAUAUCAACCAAAACGACUAUUUCGAUCUGUGAGAAGUACGGUAUUGUUACAUUUUAGUGUAUAAUUUGUAUACAAUGAGCAUUAUACAAUUGAGCAUAUUUUUUUAUUUCCUCAACAAAUUUUAUAUUAAACAUCUAGAAACAGAAGUUGAAUGUUUUCAGAAUUUUAUAUUCCAAACAAUAUAUUUCCAAAGCUACUAGUACCUACUACAAUCUACGAGCAUACAUUCACCUAUCUUAAAAAACUAAAAUUUCAUUUAGCGCAAACAACAACAAACGAAGGAAACAAAUAAAAUAAACUUAUCUCCAUGACUGGAAACGUGUGUCCCACUUGAACUUUCUCGUGCGCUACCGAUCGCAAGGGACGAGAGUCGUACAAGACGAGGAGAUUUGCAAUCCUAGACGACUACUAAACGCCCCGUCUACGGAGCUCAAUGCCACAACGAAGGAACUUGAAUGUUGGGGAGAGACGUACGCGACUGGACUCGAGUCGAUCACUUCGUGGGUCGACGCUCGAAGUAGUCGACUCGAUUCCAGUCACGUAGAUCUCUCCCCGCCACUCAAGUUCCUUCGUUGUGGAAUUGAGCUCCGUAGACGGGGCGUUUAGGAUUGCAAAUCUCCUCGUCUUGUACGAUUCACUUUUCGUUGUGUGUGAGUGAGACGCACGUUUCCAGUCAUGGAGCUAAGUUUAUUUUAUUUGUUUUUUUUGUUGAUUUUUGCUGUAAAUUAAAUUUUAGUUUUUUUAAAGAUCGGUGAAUGUUAUGUUCGUUGAUUGUAGUACUAAUAGCUUUGUAGAUAUAUAUGUGUUUGUAACAUAAAAUUCUGAAAACAUUGUACUUCUGUUUCUAGGUGUGUAUUAUACAAUUCGUUGCGGAAGUAGAAAAAUACUCUCAAUUAUUGUAUAAUGCUCAUUGUAUACAAAUUAUACUAAAAAUGUAAAAAUUUCGUACUUUUCACAGAUCGACAUAGUCGUUUUGGUAGAGAUAUAAAAAAUUCAUUCUUCCUGGUUGGAAGAUGUGAGCAAACUGAAUCGACAAGUGUGCGGAGAGUAAUCGCUUGUGCCGCAGCAUAGGCGUAACCAGGGGGGGUUUUGGGGGUUAUAACCCCCCCAUUGGGACGUACUUUGAGCUCUAUACGCUUAACCCCCAUACCCCUCAGAGCCCUUCCAGUAGUUGUAACCCCCCCCCCCUUUCCAGUAGUUGUAACCCCCCUUAGGAUCAUCCUGGUUACGCCUAUGUGCCGCAGGGUUCGUACAAGAUGCGCAAACUUCGAUACGUGUCUUCGAUCGACCCCUGUGCGGGCGGCCUAAAAGUAAUAAGGUGAAAAACAUGUUUACGGAUAUAAAAACGGCAAAUUCCAAGGUAGAGUUGGGGAAUUAGGUUAGUUAGUUCCAAAAAUCCAGUUAUGAAACAAAGAUGUUUCACAGUUUUAAGUGAUACUUGAUAAAAAAAUGUAGUUUAUGAUAUUCUAAUCGCUUGCCUUACAAUAUCGCGAAGAUUACAUGAGUUUAUGUCUUAGGCUAGUACUCACCUGUAGACCAUGUUGUGCGAUUUUCUUUGGGCGCUCUAGGGAAGGUCUAAACUUGAUACAUAGACAUGGUCUAGAGACACCGAUCUUUGUUCCAUCUAUAUUUCACACUGUGGUGGUAAUUAUUGUUUUAGUCUCAUCUUCGCCAACAACCAUGACACACAUUGGUUUGGGCGGAAUGACUGCCUGUUUGGUAAUAAUUUGUAGUAAAAAAAUUUUUUUUAAAUUAUGUAUUUUUUUUUCUAUUUCCUCCACUGAAACAAUUGUGCUUUGCAGCCAGUGAAUCCAUGGCCGCUCUUCUUUUCACCUGGUUGUUGUAACCGGGACUUUUUACAUCCCACAAACAAAAGAAGGCGUGAUAGCUUUUAAUAAAUUUUAAAAUUUCGUCGUUUGGCCACAUGGUAAACAAAAACAAGCACAAGCAGAGACCGCGUGCACGCACCCAUUUCAAUCGGGAGACUUUAGACCUGCGAUUUUUGGUCUCACAACGACCCGUAGUCCAAGUUUGGUAUAUUAUAGACAUAUCUACUGAGACACAUCUAUGAGACCAAAACCGCGCGAUGUGUCUAUUGGUGUGAACUAGCUUUUAGAAUGACGACUUACUGCCUUUGCCAAAAGUUAGUUUUACUUAUUCAAUAUCAAAAUGUUACAACUAUUAUUACAAUGAGUUUUUUAAGAUAUAUUGGUGUGUAUGUUGCGUUUAGUACAAAUUAAUGUCAGAAUUCAUUGCCGUUAUGGCUUGCAAAUUUUAGAAGUCUCGGAGGUGUAACCAGAGAAGGUUCCCAUUGUUUUCAAUCUGGUGGGAUGUAGCGUAAUAUUUUUAAUGUUAUUGUAUGUGCUAUUAGAUUGAAAACUUAGUCUUUGCUAGCAUGCCGCUAGGGCAUCCCUGCCAUUUCGUUCGUUACAAUCCGUAACUGCACGCCGGGGUUUGUUUUGGUUAGAUCAGAGACAGCAGCAUAUGUGCCUCCUGAUGAGAGACUAAUAAGUUUCGAAACCGGUAUAGGUGCUUGCUGCACUCUUUGAUUGAACUAGAAUAUGAUGCGGCGGCUGUAGUUUUGUGUUGCAACGAAAUUGAAAAUAAUUAUUCAUUUUUGAUUUACAUGUUUACUUGGAGUACGAAGGGAACCAUUCUCGUUGGAACUUUACCGCGCUAAGCAGAUGGGACGUGAAUUAUAAAUUGUAAAAUUCUCUCAGCUUCUUAGUCUCAGUAUCCGUUAUGGCUUGCAAAUUUUAGAAGCCUCGGAGGUGUAACCAGAGGUUCCCAUUGUUUUCAAUUUGGUGGGAUGUAGAGUAAUAUUUUUAAUGCUAUUUUAUGUGCUAUUAGAUUGAAAAGUUAGUCCCUGAAUGUCAGAAUAUUCACCGAGCUGUGAACCCCUAAACAUAAAAUUACUAAGGGAAAUAAAAAAGAAGUGUAAAAACUUGUUAAUAUGUAUAUUUAAAUGUAAAAACUAUCAAAAUGGAUUGAUUGAAUUAAUACGUUAUUAGUUCAGUCAGACCAUUAUCAAUGAAUCUUGAUAACACCAUGCGUGCAGCCACAUAAUAUACAUAAUAAAGAGGUUAAAAACUCUGAUUUUAAAUGUUAAAUUAAAAAGUAGUGACAUAAUGUCGAUUAUUGAAGAAUUAACUAAAAGAGAACAUAUUGAUUCCUUACUCGAAUAUGAUGACACUAAGUAUGUGUGAUUUCUUGGAAAACCAUUAGGUUUUCCUAGAAAUCGCACAUAUUUACCUAUAAUAAGCCAAGAUUCAAAUUGUAUUACUCGUCCAUCAGCUUACGUGGUUCACCUAGGAGUUCAUUAUUAAAACCUCAGAUUCACAUUAAAUUUUAUACUAUUGCGCCUCAAAAUUUCUCUAGCUACCGUGUGGCUCACACCGAGUACCUAUAGGUAGUGGAUUUUGACAAGAGCUUUGACCUUGAAAAUUUCACGUAAUCUUGUGUCCCUUGUCAAAAUUCAGUACCUAUACUAGACUUACAAUGAAGUGAGUCUGAGUGAUCGAGCCUAUAUUUUGAUUGUUUAAAAAAACAUUACUUCUAAAACUCAACUUGUCACAAGAUAUAAUUGAUAAUGUAGUUCUUAAAAAAUGACCAUUUUACACCAAUACCAAAAUAAUACAUCAAGUAACUCCCAAUUGUAUAACAGUGUACGGUUUCAAAGGGUUGUACAAAUCUCCAAGAUAUUUACGAUAUGAGAAAACAAAACUUCUAUUAGAAGUUUUGAUCAUAUCGUGAAUCUCUUUACAUUUCCCGUAGUCUUUUUACUUGUCAAACGAUUUAGGCUGCCUUUAUACAAAAUAUGUUAUUUGAUAAGUAUACAAUGCUUUGUCACAUGCCAUAUUCUAAAACGGAACACUCAGUACUCUAUCAAAAAAGAUACAUGCGAAUAAUUAGCUUAAUAUUUCUUCGUGGUUUUCUUGUUUUGAUGUCUGAGCUGAUGUACUCUUUGUACAAGAAUUUAAGGGUGUUGACACUCAUUGAGGAAUUACGAAAAACUGAUUUGAUCGUAGAAUUUUAUUGUUAAUUAUAAAGUUUGUAGAAGCGCACAUGGGCAUAAUUGUUCUCGAUGUGCCGGGAUAUUACGUCACUUUAGAACAACUUUAAGGCUCGGUGUAUAUUUGCGUGUUUUCAAGCCGCAGUACAUGAGUUGAAUUUAUUCACUGCACUCUCGCGUGCAUGCCGCGGGUCAGCUCGAGUGUGCAGUGAAUCAAUUCAACUCAUGUACUGCUAAUCCGCCAGCGCGCGCGAUCGCCCGCACCUUGAAAACAUGCAAAUGUCCAUCGAGCCUAAGGGCGACACGUAUAGAUCGAGGGCUGUAGACUCGAACGUACAAAUGUGUAAAUAUUGAAAGGUACCAACUGUAGCGUAAAUAAAUUUAAUAUUGAACGAAUUUAGCACCCACCUGGCAAAGCGAAAAUUGUUUAAAGACGUUUUCAAAUUUAAAAUCUUAUAAUUAACUAUUUAGAUGGGAAAUAAACCACAAUUAAAUUGAAAAAAAUAAUUUUAUUAACGUUUCGACGCCCAAAUCGGGUGUCGUUAAAAUCUUCAGAUAAAUCUUUAAGUAAAUUCAGAUACCAAUUAGAUGGAUUAACACCUUGGCUUGGUUACGAGACAAAUAUACCUCGUAUUAUACUAACAGUUGGCUGCGUCGACUGUUACACUACGAGACAUAUAUGCCUCGUAACGCACUCAACGUAAGUUUAUCAAUAUUUAUAAACGCAGCCAAUGUGUUAAGGAACUAGCUGUUAUAGAGUGGCCCAAACAUCAUGAUACAAAGCAAAAAACUUGAGUCUUCAGAAUAUAAAAUAGAUUUAUUUAUACACUGUUAUAUUAUUGUUAAAUAUAUUGUUGUGAUGAAUGUGUCUAUUAAAUAUCGAGCUGAUAUAAGCUCUGCUGCUUUAGGCCGAUUUAAAUAGAAGAUGUUCCUGAGCGUGGGCAGCAUUUGGUCGAUUACAAACAGUAUUCAAAUUAAACUUACCAAAUACUUCAAAGGCAAAAACUUUUGAUCAGUACCUACGUUAUUGCCGGUUCUGAUAUAUAGAACUGAAACAUGGGUUGUUAACAACAACAUAGUCCACAAACUCCAAGUAAUUCAGAGAGCUAUGGAACGGAGAAUGCUCAACAUUAAACUCAGCAAUCGCAAAUCCAGUCAAGAAAUAAGAGAACGAUCAAAACUAACAAAUGUAAUCUACUCUAAGUAGCCUACUAAUGUAGGUACUAGAUUGUUAAGUCCACAAAAGGAAAUAGCGCUUUAUAAACAUAAGUAAACAACAAGAAAUUGUUUGAAAAAUCAUGAAUUAUCAAAUAUUUUAUAUCUUUGAACCACAGCACAUAAAAUAAACUUAUAUUCAAACGGAAGGCUGAGAAUUCUAGUUCCAGAGUAACAAACAAGUAAAAAUACUCUGUUACACAGAAGACGCAAUAUUGAUGAGCCCAAGAUGAAAAUGGUCUGCAAAGAUUAGUCCACAGAUUUAACAUCAGAGCAGAAGAAUUUAUUAUGACAAUCUCGUCUCAGAAAACUAAAACAAUAGUAAUCAGCAAAGAAGCAAUCAAUUGUAAAAUAGAAAUUGAUGGCAUCAGUAUUGAACAAUUAAUGGAAAUAAAACACCUUGGAAUAUGGAAUUAGACUGUAUAGCUAUGGAGACCUGUACAAAAACGUGAGAAAUCAAGUACAAAAAGCAAAUAGAUUAACAGGAUGCCUUAAUAACACUAUAAGGCGAAACCAGCAUAUUAUUAACACUGACUGAGAUGAAUCCAAGAAUUUAUUAAGCCAGUGUAAGACCAAUAAGGACAUGCGUCAGAAUCCAGAGCCGACACAGCCACAACACAAAGACUACUUAGGUACUGAAAACGGCAGUUGAGAGUACUGAUAAGAAUUACAUACAGGAAAUACGCUGAGAGAUCGAAAGUAGAGCGAAGACAUUAGAAGAAAGUGUAACGUACAGUAAACAAGCUGAAUUAUUUAUAAAAAGGAGGAACAGGAGUGACGUAGAUGCGAGACGAUACAAAUUUAAGAAUCAUAAUCGGCAUAUUGUUAUUUCUGUAUUUAUAUCUUGGACUACACGCUGAACAACUGAUAUUACUAGCAAUUUGCGCAUGCCUACUAUACUUGUAGCAGCGCCAGUCCACAGUUUAGUGCUAAAGAAUCAGUUAGUCACUCUCGUAUUUUGACGGUUCCAAUUUUGCAAUCAGUUCUUGAGACAAAACUUUGAAUGGACUACGACAACGAUCAAUCAGCAAAUGCGCGACGAUAUCGACCAAUUGUUCUUCAUCUGAGCGAAGAACUACAAUUUUUUGAUAAAUUUGGCCACAUUGUCACCAAAAUGGAACACACAGAACAAAGGAUUUUUCGAGAAGUGACCCUGUGGUCAGUCUCGUUAGUUAAUAGCUAUACGCCUUAUCCGCCGUGAGCUCUUAGGUAGAGGGGAUAUUUAAAAGUUCGUGAGCGCCAGUAGUGACAAAUCAGUGAACUUCGGUUGGAAAUUUGACAUACAUGUCAAAGCGAUUAAUUUAAAACAUUGAAAUUAAAAACAUCGAUAGGAAAAAAUAUUAGUUGGCCACAGAUGUGGCAUAACUAUAUUUUUACCUUAAAUAUAAUUACGCUCUAAAUACUGAAAUUUGGUGUUUUAACAUUUUAUAAUGUAAUUAAUCUAUUAAUCUAAGCGCCAUCUACACGAUAAUUGUGAAAGUAUCGGAAGUAGGAAAGAAGGAAACUAAUAUUCGCAAACUAACAUUAAUCAAAAUGAUAAGCAAAAUCUUAUAUAAUUACUUCUUUGCGUUGUAAAUAUUACACGAUAAGAAUUAAAUAAUAAAUUUGAAACAAUUAUUAUUUGCUAUUAUUCACAAUACUUUUCUCAUUAAAGUUCCAACCGAAGUUGCACUACUAAUCCGCUACUUGGCGAUACCAGCGAAGCCCACAGUGUAUAGUACCUAAUCUAGAGGAAAGUUGUUUGAAAUCUGCUUCAAUAAACAUCGGAACUGUUUCUUUUUUCCAACAAUUCUCUAAUAUUCUUCUUAUAUGAUAUCUGAAUGUGAUUUGUAAUUCUUGUUCACUGUUAAGUCUAUUUUCCUUUCACUUUUUCUAUUUCCAUUAAACGUUUUAACUUUCCCGCCCUUCUCAAUCUUGGCUUUCUCUACUAUCUGCUUUUAAUUUUUUUUCCUUGGAGUUAUAUGACUAAUGCCUGGUUGCACCAACAGAUCUUAAGCUCCAGCUUAGCUCAGCUCAGCUCAGCUUAUAGAUUAUGACUGUCUAGGGCUUUGUCUUAAACUCAAGCAGCAACUUAAGUUGAGAAUAACAGAGAGUUGAGAUUAACAUCGGUUCAAGCUGAACAUUGAUCCAAGACUCAAUGUUGCAACUCUUAUGUUUCACAAACUGAGCUUAAGUCAUGUCUUAAGAUUAAAAUCUGUUAGUGCAACCAGGCACAAGGGUCCUUUAAGGCCAAUUCGCCGAAACACCGAUGUUUUUAAAUUGGAUUAAACUUUGUUUUGUUAAUGUGUUCACUAAAAUACUUUCACUUCUUUUUAAGUCAAGGAUAAGAACAAGUCAAAAAUAUUGUGCGUGAAUCCACUAACGUAUUGUUGUGAAUUUUGUACAUUUGACACAUUCAAUAAAAAUUUUAAAUAAUGGAUAUUUGUGUUAGUUUCUGAUUACUUUUCUAAUUGGUGAAUUAUUUUAAUUUAACUUGAAAUCGUCUUUAAGUUUAACUAGGAGUUAUAAGAUAGCAGGGUAGGAACGUAGAGCAAAACAUGUUUUUAGAGAAAAUCUACACAAUCAUCUAGGAGAGAAAUAACUAUUUUUACGAAGAAAACCGUAUUGAUAAUCAAAUUGAUUCAAAUUUGUUUUUUACCUUAGCGAGUUCAACAACCUGUGCGUAGGUAGUAAUUUUUACUGCUUCCAAAUACGAGCUUAAAAAUUAAAAGAAUUUUGUUAUAUUGAUUUUUCCGUGCAGAUACUUUUUGUUGAUAGAGAUUUCAAGUAUUGAAAAUUUUUAUUAAGGUCCCUAAUAUAAAUACCUUAAAAUAUUGUAUAUGUUUAUUUAUGGAUCAAUCGAAUAAAUUAUUUAAAAAGUA